rnacentral:lncRNA from 1 species
AUUUGCCAUCCCUCUCCUUCAUCAGGCCCGUGCCAGGGACCGUGCCAGGUACCGUGCCAGGGACCGUGCCAGGCACCGUGCCAGGUACCGUGCCAGGUACCGUGCCAGGGACCAAGCCAGGUACCGUGCCAGGGACCGAGCCAGUGUCAAGGAUCGUGCCAGGUACCGUGCCAGGGAUCGAGCCAGUGUCAAGGAUCGUGCCAGGGCCAGUGCCAAGGAUCGUGUCAGGGCCAGUGCCAAGGAUCGUGUCAGGGAUCAUGCCAGGGCCAAUGCCAAGGAUCGUGCCAAGGCCAAGGAUCGUGUCAGGGCCAAUGCCAAGGAUCGUGCCAGUCUUGUGGUUGUGGGAGAGGAAAUGUCCGGGUUGAGGAACAAGAUGAAUCAAACUUUAAUCAACCUACAAGUGAAUCAAUUUCCCCAAAGAAUGAUGGAAAUUAGGACAUGAAGGUCAGUGAAGGAGUUGGAUCAUGUUCUUCAUGUCCAACAUUAAGAUCUUAGUCAAUAAUGUCAACACUGCUCGUGGC